rnacentral:lncRNA from 1 species
CCGACGUUCCAACCGCCUUGUAAUACGUCAUGGAAGCAUCUGUUUUAUUUCGUUUUGUUGUUUUAAGAAAAGCAUCCUAAACACGUUUUGAGGUACAUGUUCCGCUUCCACUUUACCGCGCACUAAUUUGGUUGUGUAAAAGCUGACAUUGCCUACCCAAACACGAGGUCAAACUCUGAAAGUUAGUUUUGACACUCUCCUAUGGAAAAGGAAAAAAACAUAAUCGACAAAAAGGGUGAGCCUGCUUCUAACAACUCCCUCAAAAGGCUCUGUAACCCGUCCAAAAGAUGAUGUCAAGUGCUACAAGGACCCAGGUCAGCCCUGCAUCAUAGGUAACAGUUACCCCAGUGAUAAAGUUACCAGGCAGGUUUUGAAUGAGAUUGUGUUUUUAAAUGAAAGACUGGUUGGAAAUGUAGACUUGGACGAAGCAUUAAUAGAGGAAAAUUUGAGACAAACAGAGGUUAGCGUUUGGUUUCUUUGUGGUGUUCAGCAAAGGUCAGGAAAGGUUCUAAAAUAGAAGGAACCCAAAGUUUCAAUGAGGAGUUGUGGGAUUCUAUUAAUACAUGAGCAUGUAGCCUAGACAAAGUGAACUCUAGGUUCAGCCAAGAGCUGUUUUGUGACAUGGAAGCUCCGGUCAUUCAGCUGGAACCGGUCACUUAAUUUGGAUAAAUCCCUGAGUAGUUGAAGACCUGCUGAGUGUCUUGUUUAAUUUUAUUCUAAGGGCGAAGUGACGCCCUUCUACCCCCAUGCCAACUGUUUAGGUCAAAUGGGGAGGGAAGACAUAAACAGCAGGCACGGAACCCGUCAGAUAGCCUUACAGAUUAACUUUAUGGUUUUCCUCCUUUACUACCGGAGUCCUGGCUGUGGAGGCAGCUCGUGAAUCAAGCAGAACCCAAAUGGCAGCCAUGUUCCCAUUCUCCAUCUGCUGUGUUUCCUCACAAAGGUUUAAGUACAAGAUUGAUUGUGCGUAUCUGACAACGUGAAGUACCCGUGAGUAAAGAAACUAGAAACAGUUUCUCACUCUGGACAAAAGGAAGCAGACAUAUAUCCAGAAGAUAAAUGGUGAAAAUCCAGGCCACAAGUACAUAGAAGAUACCUGUGUUAUUAAAAAGGAAAGGAAGCAUCGAGAGAUCUGGAAUUUGAAAUAUAGGGAUUUAAAGUGCCUAUAUGAAGUUGAUAUAGGAAAAAAAUAUACAGCUCUCUUUAAAGCAAACAUAACUAGCGAGAAACCACAUCCCACUAAAAACAAGCUGUAUGUAGAGAAGAGUAAAGAAUUUUAAAGGCACAAACCUAAAAUUACACUAACUAUAACUAAAAGGAAGAACCAGAUUGUUUGCUCAAGUGAAGAGUGUAUUACUGUUGGCAUAAAUAAAGCUAAAAUAUUUUCAAUUUUAAAAAGACA